GGCUGGGUGCUGGGCAGGUGGGCACUGGGGUUGGGUGCUGGGCAGGUGGGUGGUGGGUGCUGGGUGCCGGGCCUGAGCAUUGGACAGUUAGACACUCGGGCUGGGUGCUGGGCAGGUGGGUGCUGGGUGCCGGGCUUGGGCAUUGGGCAGUUAGAUACUGGAGCUGGGUGCUGGGCACUGAGUGCUGGCCAGUGGGCACUGGGGCUGCAGCUGGACAGUGGGACAGGGAGCUCGGCAGUGGACACUGUGUGUGUAGGCACCAAUGCCAGGCACUGGGACUGGGCUGGUGAGCGCUGGGGGCUGGGCACUGGGUGGAAGGUCAUUGAGGGCAGGGUUCUGGGAAGUUGGACUUUGGGGCUGGGCACUGGGUGGGUGAUCACUGAGUAUGCACCAGGGCUGCGUGCUGGGUGGUGUGUACUAUGGCUGGGUGCUGGUCAAGGGGGCGCCAGGGUCUGGUACUGGAUGGAUGGACACUGGGCACUUGGGCACUGAGCGGGUGGGCAUUAGGACUAGGCACUGGACCAGUGGACACUGGGGCUUGAGCUAAGUAGGUGGGCACUCGGGUGCCGGGUGCUCGGGGCCUGGGCACUGAGGGUGGGUGGGUGGGUGGGCUCGGGGCUAGAUUCUUGCAGCAGAGACCCACCUUGGAGUGGUGUCCCAGGACUCAUGUCAUCUGCCCCAUGCCCAGGAUCCCCGGGCCAUGCCCAGCUGCCCACCCUAGGCCAGCCCAUUAGCUUGUUUCCAUCCUAGCAGCCCCUGCUGUGCCCAGGACCUCCGUGGACCCUCCUUCAAGCUGCUGAUGGCCUGGUGGGGAGGUGCACGGGGCAGAAUGGCCUGGCAAUCAGCUGGGGCCACCUGGGUCCCACUG